rnacentral:lncRNA from 1 species
CAUGCAGAAGCCACCGCUCUUUCUUUUCAACAUAAUUCCCAUAUGAUUUGAUUAAUGGAAUGAAUGUGGCAGAAUUGGCCGGAAGCAGAAUUGCCUGUUUCCAGUGAGGCCCCCUUGCCCUCUUGGAAGCAGUUGCUGUGUAGGAAUUCUGAACACCUCACAGGAGAUGGCGGCCUGGCCAGUUCCUGCCUGCUCCAGCCGCCCAGCUGAAGGGGUUCCAGACACAAGUGGAGCCAUGGUGACCUCCAGCCCCAGCAGACACCUCCACACCGUGCAGGGCAGACCAACCAUGCCACCAACCAUCCUAAUGGGUGUGGAGUGGUGUCUUGGCUCCUUCUUGACAGUGGAUCUCUUUGGAGUGCAUACCUGCCAGCCGGGAUAGCUGUCUACUGGCUGCUCCUUGGUCCUGUGGAGCUUUGCUCCUGCACUCUGCCAAGCUCUGAGUCUGGCCUCUGUCUGGGCUGCUGAUAAACACCUGUCUUCAUGCUAAGGCCUCACUGAUUAGUUGAGCCAACCGACUCCUCCAGGGCCUGCCCAACACUGAUGGGUUCCUGACCCAGGCCUGGAACAUCUUGCUGCCUUCUUGUACUCACAGCUUAGGAAGCAAAAAGCAAGCCAGGUGUUCGUACUUCUCUGCUGGGGACAUAACAAAUG